ACUCAUAUAUCUAAUGUUGCGAAGAGCUGAGUUCUUACCUCAGUAAUGUGGUUAUCACUGUGGGUU
rnacentral:tRNA from 1 species